UUCCUCUUUUAUUUAACUAAAAAAAAAACAAUAUUUAUUAAAAUCAUUGUUGUACCUAAAAAUUGAAUUAAAAAAAUAUUUCCUUAUUUCUCACUGUUUGCUGAUAAUACGUUUUUUAUUUGUAUUUACAUCGAUAAAAAAAAACUUGUUUAAUCCACAAACAUUAUUAUUAUGCCACAUAUUAUUAAAUUUAAAUUUUGAUGGUCUUAUUAUUCAAAAAAAAAAAUUUCCCUAUUAAAAUAUAAACAGAUUUACAGCGCACUUAUUCAGUAUAUAAUAACGUUAAUUUGUAAGAAAUUUUAUCAAUUGAAAAAAAUGCAUCUUUCAGUAAUUGUCAUUUUUGCACUUUUGUGUGUGAGUUUACUCAUACCUGAAAUUGUCGGUCAAUGUAGAGGUCGAGGAUCAGGUUGUACUCUAAAUAGUCAAUGUUGCAGUAAUCAGUGUAUAACAGUAAUAAGAGCCAGAGUUUGCUCAUAAUUUAAAAUUUAAUAUUAUGAAUGGCAUAAAUAUAAUAUACCUUGAUACUAAAAUUUGGUAUAUAUGUCAAACUCAUUUGUCAAUGAUUUAAAAAAAAAAUAUUAAAAUAAAAAUGUAUAUAUUCAAUAAAUAAAAGAAUGAGAUCUCUUAUACUAAUUAAA